CAUGACAACCGAUAAAAAACAACAGUGUUACCCCUUAUGUUUUUUUUCAUGACGACCAAUAAAAAACAACAGUGUCACCCCUCAUGUUUCAUUUGAUAAAAACUACAGUGUUACCCCCUAGGUUUUAUUCGAUACAUUUUGACAGUGUUACCCCUUAUGGAUUUUUCAUGACGACAGAUAAAAAACGACAGUGUUACCCUUUACGUUUCAUUUGAUAAAAACAACAGUGUUACCCCUGAUGUUUUUUUUCCCAUGAUGACUGAUGAAAAACAACAGUGUUACCCCUUAUAUUUUAUUUGACAAGGACAAUUAUUUAUUUAUUUUCAAAUAUGUUUUUUUCAUGACGACCAAUAAAAUAUGAAAGUGGUACCCCGGUCGACGUUUUUGCAGGGAUCCGAUCCGGAGCUGUUUAGAGUAUUAACCUCCAAACUUAUCAAUGCACCAUCAAGACACCGAAAAAAGAACGACAGUGUUACCCCUUAUAUUUUAUUUGACAAAGACAACAGUGUUACCCCUUAUGUUUUUCUUCAUGACGACCAAUCAAAAACAACAGUGUUACCCCUUAUGUUUCUUUUCAUGACGACCAAUAAAAAACGACUUAUAUUUUAUUUGACAAAGACAACAGUGUUACCCCUUAUGUAUUUUUUCAUGACGACCAAAGAAAAACAACGUGUUACCCCUUAUAUUUUAUUUGACAAAGACAACUUAUGUUUUUCUUCAUGACAACCAAUAAAAAAAAAACAGUGUUACCCCUUGUGUUUUUUUUCAUGACGACCGAUAAAAAACAACAGCGUUACCCCUUGUUUUUUUUUUCAUGACGACCAAUCAAAAACAACAGUGUUACCCCUUAUGUUUUUUUUCAUGAUGACCAAAGAAAAAUGACAGUGUCACCCCUCAUGUUUCAUUUGAUAAAAACUACAGUGUUACCCCUUAUGUUUUUUUCAUGACGACCGAUAAAAAACGACAGUGUUACCCCCUUAUGUUUUUUCAUCACGACCGAUAAAAAACAACAGCGUUACCCCUUAUGUUUUUUUUCAUGACGACCGAUAAAAAACGACAGUGAUACCCCUUACGUUUUUUUUCAUGACGACCAAUAAAAAACAACAGUGUCACCCCUCAUGUUUCAUUUGAUAAAAACGACAGUGUUACCCCAUAUGUUUUUUUCAUGUGUGCACAGUCCCAGAAUUAAAAAGGAAGUGGACUCGUCUGACAUAAAGGUACAUAUUUUCAUGUAGCCUACCAAUAAAUCGUUAUGGUCCCUAAAGACCCACUCCCUCCGAAUCCUGCCAUUUGCAUGGUCCGCCAGAAGUGCCAUACGGUGCAGCAUUACCACGGCGCUCACCUCUGCAUUUAUAGGGUUACGGUAAUAAGACUGACCGAGAACACCUUGGAUAAUCAGUUUGUAAUCACCCACGUAAAAUGUUCUUAACCCCUUUUUAAUGCCUGAUUUGUCAUGAAAAGCAUCAAGAGUAACGGACAACGAUUGUGAUGAGGAGUGUGGCUUGGUUUUCCACACUUGGGAUUUAAUGGACAUUUGAUUAUGUGUUUACAGUGUCACAUAAAAAUAUUAUGUUAUUGACACAUGUUGGACAGAUGCUUUAUUCCAUGCAGUCGCGCCGUCAGUGGACAGUAUGGAGUGACGGGAUUAAAUAUAGAAAAAUAUAUAUAUUUCUAUUCUAAGGAGAUGUUUCUGGAGUUAUAACUGAGAAAUAACGCAGUUGACUUAAAUUAUUCUGAUUACAUAGAUUUAACGCAUGAUACGGGUGGAAAUUAAAUUUAUGAAGGGUGAUGAUAAAACAUAAUCGUUCUUCUCACUCUACAAUUCUUCUAUCUGACUUCAGUUCACCACCACACCAUCUGUGUCGCCAACUCUCCUCUUUCUCCAAACCAUGCGUACGCAUGGGUCAGUUUGCUUAGGGCUGCACACAUUCUCCAGUC
rnacentral:lncRNA from 1 species